rnacentral:rRNA from 1 species
UACGUAGGGUGCGAGCGUUGUCCGGAAUUACUGGGCGUAAAGAGCUCGUAGGUGGUUUGUCGCGUUGUCCGUGAAAACUCACAACUCAAUUGUGGGCGUGCGGGCGAUACGGGCAGACUGGAGUACUGCAGGGGAGACUGGAAUUCCUGGUGUAGCGGUGGAAUGCGCAGAUAUCAGGAGGAACACCAGUGGCGAAGGCGGCUACCUGGCCCACUCUUGACGCUGAGGCGCGAAAGCUAGGGGAGCAAACGGG